rnacentral:sRNA from 1 species
CACAUGCCUUUUGGUUAGCGAAUCAGCUUGCAACUGUCAACUGUUUACUGCUUAUAACAUCGGUGGAUUUUACCUGCUUGUCUCCAAGGAUCUGUUGUAGCAUUAAUUGAGAUUAAUAAAAGCAGUUGGAAUAACAAGAUGUAGCUGCGGCUGUGACUUCAACUUCCUGCCUUCCUCUAAUUCAAGAUGUAGCUGCUGCCUGCCCACCCCUACCAUUAACCAUAAUAUAGUGCUCAAGUAGCUUACUGCCAGAAAAACUGUCAAAUGUAUUGUGAUUCCCCUAAGUAGCUUUCUGCUUAAUUUCUUUUCUAGUGGGGAUAAAAGAACUCUGUACUAUUACUUUGUAUUAGGACGAUCCUCUGGUCUGUGUUGUGAGUUGUAAGUUGUAACUCGUGACUUGGCUUUUACUCACUUUUCCCUUCUGCUGAUGGCGGACAGAGGACUCGACAGUCAACAUUCCUGUGGCUCAGUCCUUCACUGAAGGUAGCUUGGGAGUGUCUGAUUUUGCUUGGUUUUAUAUGUUUUGUUGUAUU